GGCCUUACCUCAAGCUCGGCGUCAAGGCUCGCGGCUGCAAUGGCUUAUCCUACACGCUCAAUUACGCUGAUGAGAAAGGAAAGUUUGAUGAAUUGGUUGAGGAAAAGGGUGUAAAGAUACUUAUUGAACCAAAAGCUCUCAUGCACUUUAUUGGAACUCAGCCCUCAGUUUGUCAUCAACAAAAUCCAUCUUAGAUAUUUAUAAAUCCAAACUCUAAAGGCCAAUGUGGUUGUGGCGAAUCUUUCAUGACAACAACUAGUGCUGGAGCUGCUAAGCAGGUUGGCAGCACAUAAGACUUGUGAUGGCUUGAGAUAUCAUAACUGACCCAUUGUUUCAUACUCACCAUGCACUGAUGGUAUCUAGCAAAACACUUGUAUGAGAGCACACCUAGUUUCCUUAGCAAAAGAAAGCAAAAGC
rnacentral:misc_RNA from 1 species